AAUCAACGCUGGCGGCGUGCCUAACACAUGCAAGUCGCACGAGAAAGGGGACUUCGGUUCCUGAGUACAGUGGCGCACGGGUGAGUAACACGUGAAUCAUCUACCUUCGAGUGGGGAAUAACUGAGAGAAAUCUUAGCUAAUACCGCAUAAUACCUACGGGUCAAAGCAGCAAUGCGCUUGAAGAGGAGUUCGCGGCAGAUUAGUUAGUUGGCAGGGUAAGGCCUACCAAGACGAUGAUCUGUAUCCGGCCUGAGAGGGCGCACGGACACACUGGAACUGAAACACGGUCCAGACUCCUACGGGAGGCAGCAGUGGGGAAUUUUGCGCAAGUGGGGGAAACCCUGACGCAGCAACGCCGCGUGGAGGAUGAAAUCCCUUGGGAUGUAAACUCCUUUCGAUCGGGAAGAUAAUGACGGUACCGAGAGAAGAA
rnacentral:rRNA from 1 species